rnacentral:rRNA from 1 species
AUUGUGGCCUUUAGACAUACUACCAACGGCGGCGCGAGCGUAAGCCUCUUGGAACAGAGCGUCUACGUGGGUGAGAAUCCUGUGUUUCGCUUGAUGCCCGCCGUGCACGGUACUUGCUCUCAGAGUCACGCUCCUCGGAAUUGGAGCGUAAAUUGGGUGGUAAAUUUCAUCUAAAGCUAAAUACAGGCUCGAGACCGAUAGCAAACAAGUACCAUGAGGGAAAGAUGAAAAGGACUUUGAAAAGAGAGUUAAAAGUGCUUGAAAUCGCUGAACUGGAAGCGAAUGGAACUAGUGCUCUGGUUGAGAUUGCUGUAAAUGGCUGCGACAUCUGGGCUCUGGAACGCAAGUCCUUUGUCUGGCUUGAAGUAGUCGCUUGCAAUGUGUCUCAGCUUGAACAUCAACUUCUAUGCAUACGUGAGGAUGGCCCUUGGCUCAUGCUGUGUUGCUGUGGCGAUACUCUUGUGCUUCUGGGGAUUCAGGUGUGUGUGGAUUG